rnacentral:misc_RNA from 1 species
UUUCCGUAGGUGAACCUGCGGAAGGAUCAUUAUUUAAUAACCGAGGUGCGAGGCCUGUCGCUGACCCGAAAGGUCGUGCACGCCCGAGUGCCCUCACACACAUCCAUCUCACCCCUAUGUGCACCACCGCGUGGGUCCCCCUUUGGCUUGUUCGGAGGGGGGCUUACGUUUUCACACAAACUUUGUAUGCAGUGUAGAAUGUAUUUUUUGUUUUUGCGAUCACGCAAUAAAUACAACUUUCAACAACGGAUCUCUUGGCUCUC